GGGAAAUAAAAAAAGAAUGCAAAUCAGAAGGAAGAGAGUAGGCAGAACAGGAAAAGUGAGGCAAGGGCUCCUUUCAUGUUGGCUGGAGUCUCCGGAACUGGAAGCAGAUGGGGGCUGUUCUUGGAAUCAACACUUUCCAGGAUAGAGUCCCCCAUUCUGUCAUUAAUAAAACUGUUAAAUACCAUAGAGCCAAGAACUUAUCCCUGCAGAACCCAACUGGAAACACCCCCUCUUGAUGAUGAUUCCUCAUUUACAAUUGCAUUUUGAGAUUAUAAGUUAGCCAAUUUUUAAUCCAUUUUAUGUGUGCCAUGUUAAUUUCAUAUCAUUCUGUUUUUUUAAUCAAAAUGUGUGGUACCAAGUCGAACACCUUAGAGAACUUUAUUACCAUUAUCAACCAAACUUGUAAUCUCAUAAAACAAAGAUCUCAAAUUAGUUUUUCAGGAUCUAUUUACCAUAAAAUCAUGUUGAUUGGCAUUAAUUUCAUUACCCUCCCAUCAUUCUUUAUUAAUCAAGUCCCACAUGAGGUGCUACGUUAUCUUGUGCAAGCUCUAUGUCAGGCUGACAAGCCUAUAUUUACUUGAGUCAUCCUGUUUACUCUUUUAAAAAUUGACACAGCAUUAGCUUUUUUCCAGUCUUCUAGAAGUCUUUCCCAAUGUGCUAAGACUUAUUGAAAAGUCAGCGUUACUAGUUCAGUAAGCUCCUCAAUCAGCAAUUAUAAAACUCUGGAUGCAGGUUAUCUGGACCUGGUUAUUUCAAAAUGUCUAACUUUAGUAGCUUCUGUUUAAGAUCUUUCAGAGAUACUAGCAGAAUGGAAUGAGUGUAAUCACCACAAUGAGACU